rnacentral:lncRNA from 1 species
AGAAAGAUUGCUUUUAUAGAAAAUAUGUCUACUCUAGUUGGAUGUAACUUUUAGCAUCUUUGUGUGUCACAGUGCUAUUCACUCUUUACGCACAUGGGAAAAAGGGUGAGAUAUUUACAUUAUGUUCCAUGGUCCAAAAGGAAGAGCACUGUAAUCAUUUUGCUUCUCUGGUCGUUAUGUGAUAUAUGAUAUUUUCUCAUGCUGCUAAAUUAUUAAAGACAAUGCUAUAAAUUCACCGCCAUCUUCGUUAGGAGAUUAUACUUGUUUUACAUGGAGGGACCGGCCCCUGCUACCUUAUAUUUACCUGCUAUUAGCUUAUAGAGAAACCCCUGAGGCCAUGACUUGUUUCUUUGCUUGGAAUCAUAUCUUCAAGUUCUGAUUGCACUUUCUAACAUAUUUAAUGUGCUUUAUUGAAUUGUACCAAAAUGAUUAUUCAAUUCAUUGCUUUUUUUUCUGUCCCUGUCUUACCUGCAUAUCAUUUUUUAUUCUUGUUCUUGGGAAACAUUAACUAGAGAUAAAAAAUGUACUUCCGGAUGGUUUAUGCGAAACGUUCAAUCUCUUUAGAAAUCCAAUGGAAAUGACUUUAUGCUCAUUUUCCAGAACGAUGAAAUAAUUCUAUCCUAUAGAAUUAUCUUCUGCAUAUUGUUGAAAAAUGCCUUGAGCUCCUGCUUUUAGUUCCUGAAUGCAAUUAUUGAUUGUUCCUAACAGUUAACUACUGAUGAUUCAUGACUUGUCUACCAAAGCUAUUGUUAACCUGAGUAACAAUUUAGUUGAGGAAGUGUUUUAUCUGUUCGAAUACUUGCGCUUUUCUUCAAGUAUGUCGGAAUUUUGAACUGUUUCUCUGCAGCUCAGACUUAUUGUUUAGGUGUUCAAGAUUACUGUGGGAACUGAGAUCAGCAUUUGGCAUAUUGAGGUCUGGAUUUGUAGUGGGAUCUGAGAAUUUUGUAAUGUUUUCUUUGAUAAUGUUGUAGUGUAGGCAAAUCUUGCAUUCCUUCAUUAUUUGAAAUUCUGUUUUGUGCAUAGCACCCAUCACUUUGGACUACCCUCUUGUGCCAUCAUCUCAGAUUUAAUCAUUCUUUAUACCAUUGCAUUCACAAGUCUAUGCUCCUCUUCUCUCUUUUUUCUCCUUCUGACAUUGCUAUAUUGUGCACUAUAUAUAUAUAUGACUAUAUCUUUAUCACGAUCCAAAUAUAGAGCCGGACCAACGCUAGAACAUGG